CCUCACCCUACUGCCCAACGGGGCCUUCUCCAACCUAUACGUCCUUCAAGAGCUCAGGCUAGCAGGAAACUGCCUGACCGACAUCCCUGAAGGGGCUUUCUCUGGCCUCUUCAAUCUCAAAGUACUAAUGCUCCAAAACAAUCAUCUAUGGCAAGUUCCUGGUGAUGCCCUUC